GUAAGAAGUAUAAAACGUUUCUCUGAAAGACAGAAGUGAAACGUACUAGUCAGUGUGUACUGGAAUAUUUUUAUGCUGUUAAGAACAAUUUCCUUUAGUAGGAGCAGCUUUUUCCUUUAUAUUUGACAUAAUGCAAAGAUCAAACAGCAUGAUUUUGUUUGCAGAUUUUCCUCACUUCUUGGUAUGCUUGCAGCACAUCUUCUAACACGAUCAGUCUGGAAGUUGCAUUCACAAGUUGGCCUGCCCUUCAGGGGAAACUUUCUUGCCUCUUUGGCAGUGUGGAUUUGACCUAGCCAUGUGGUGUGUACAAGUAGGAAGUUCUACAAUCAGUUAACUCUUUUAAGUUUUCCCUGCAAUUCAUGUCCAGUUCGAACACAAACACAUAUGCAGUUGCUGUGAUGACAUACAGAAAUGCAAAUCAUCAGUGAAAUGUAUGGGAGUGACUCUCUUUCUUAAGAUACCACACAAAUGUUUACUUUGCAUCAGCCCUUGUAUUGCUAAAACAAUUGGACUGAUUUCUUUAGAACCAUAUUCCUUUACAGGCUCUAUAAAGACACUCUGUUCACAGACUCUGGGUGGAGCAACUGUUAAAACCCUAGCAGGAGUAAUUAUAUAGACUUGAGUAUUAAAUAUACUGUUUUGUGAUGAUAAACUAUGAAACUAUCAUCCCCGAGCUUUUAACCUACUAACUUAUAUAAUAGGUUUGAGACAAAAUAUACACUGUCAUACAAAGGACAUAUAUAUGUACAGGGGCACAAGAUGUGAAAACUGUUACUAAGAUUAUUGUGAAUAAAGUUGAGUCUAAUCUUGAAAAUUAUUUUGAUAUAUACAAAAGGAUAAGGACUGAGAAACAUUUUUAUAUUGGUGAGUUAAAUUAUUGUGUAUUUUCAAAUUUAAGUUUAGAAAUCAAUUGCAAUAAAUUAUUACCAUGAAAUGUUUGCAUAUAUGAUUGAAAUGUAUGCCUGUAUGUCAAAUAUCUUAUAAAAAUAAAAUGUAUAAGCUUCCUAGGA